rnacentral:lncRNA from 1 species
CAGGUAAAUAAAUUAUUGAUACAUUAUCGAUCUUUCUUGUAUGUGUCUCAUCCACAUUCAGUUCGUCUUUUUCCAGACCUAGUUACCAACAAGUCAAGCAGAUGUAUUCGCCUGAAUCUCUAGUUUAAUUAAUUUUAGAUUGGUGAUUGUCGAGAACUGUUUUGCGGUGCAAGAGUUCAGAAUGUAUCAAAGCUGAGAAAUCUAUCUGGUGCAAGAGUUCAGAAUGUAAACAGGAAGAACAAUAACUAGUUAGGAACAGAAAAAUUCUGGUUAUCAGACCGUUGAGUACUGAUUCAAAAGCGUAGCAUGCCGACAACCAGUGCCUCAGAAGGC